UAGGAAUCUUCCACAAUGGACGCAAGUCUGAUGGAGCAACGCCGCGUGAGUGAAGAAGGUCUUCGGAUCGUAGAACUCUGUUGUUAGAGAAGAACACGAGUGAGAGUAACUGUUCAUUCGAUGACGGUAUCUAACCAGCAAGUCACGGCUAACUACGUGCCAG
rnacentral:rRNA from 1 species